rnacentral:rRNA from 1 species
CCCCUAGACGUUCUGGGCUGCACGCGCGCUACAAUAAUACGCACAGCGAGUAUCACCGAGCUCGAAAGGGCAAGGUAAACAAUAGAAAAGGUACUGUAAUGGUUAUAGAUCCUUGUAAUUAUUGGUCUUCAACGAGGAAUUCCUAGUAGACGUAGUUCAUCAGACUGCAUCGAUUACGUCCCUGCCCUUUGUACACACCGCCCGUCGCUCCUACCGAUUGAAUGCUCAGGUGAGCCAUUCGGACUUUCAUCAUGCUGGUUUCCAGUUUUGAUGAAGGAAAGUCUUGCGAACCUUAUCAUUUAGAGGAAGGAGAAGUCGUAACA